UUUAAAAUAGGGAGAUUAGCCUGGAUUAUCCAAUCCAGGUGGGCCCAGUAAUCACAAGGGUCCUUAAACCUGGAAGAGGGAGGCGGAAGAGAAGGUCAAGGAAGAGAUGGACAGAAUGCAAGUAGAGUCAUCGAGAUGUUACCUCGCUGGCUCUGAAGAUGGAGCACUGGGGCCGCUAGCCAAGGGCGGCCUCUAGAAGCUGGGCAGACAAAGAAACAAAUUCUUCUCCAGAACCUCCAGGAAGGAAUGCAGCCCUGCCAACCCCUGACUCUAGCCCAGGGAGCCUGCAUUUGGACUUCUAACUCACAGAACUGAAAGAAAAUCCAUCUGUGUUGUAAGGCACGAAGCCGGUGGUGAUUUGUUACAGCAGCAACAGGAGGCUAAUACUGUGGCAUGACACAGAGGACCUGCCAAGUCCUCACACUGCUCUGAUCGCUGAGAUCCAAAGAUACCAAGAAGAAAACGGCUGCUCCAGAGAUUACCCCAACAGCCAACUUACAACAAAGCUGGAAGACUCUGGUAAAUCACGUAGCUCGCCGCUUCAUCCCGACACUGUCUGGCCAGAGCGCAACUCUGCGGCCAUCGGCGCGUCUGCAGUGUCCCCAGGCCCAGCUGGAGAGGAGGCCUUACCUGGCUGGCCCGGAGGCUCUGGAUAGCAGCGCACACAGCAGCAGCACCAACACCCAGAGCAGGGCUAAGAUGAACACGCCGGCCCCCACCCCGAGCACGGUGCCAGCCAUCUGCAGGGGAGACGAAGCGUGAGGACAGAGAGGUUGCUUUCUGCUCUGUGUGGAUCACUUCAAAUCUGCUAUCUGAGUUCUAGUUUGGCUUUCCCGACCUGCAGCAGCAAGCUGAACUCUCUCCUGACAGAAAUGUUAAUGGAGGGCUGUGAAGGCACGAGGAGCCAAGCGCUACGGAGCCCAUGGGGACAUUGAGGC